rnacentral:lncRNA from 13 species
UAGAUAGAUUCAUACAUGCAUUCAUACCUACAUACAUAUUUUUUGUUGUUCUUUAAAGAUACAGACAUAAAACAAAAGCUACUGCACACUUACACAAGCAAUCCCAUUUCCUCACACUGUAGACUUUUCUCUUAAUCUGCAUCUAAACAUCCCAGAAGAGUUUGGGACACACAGACUUUUCUGUCCAAGGAAGCUUGUCCAUUUUCUCCAUCUCUGUCUUUCAGUUUACUGACUUAUUCAUUUUCCAUUGUUUCUCCAGAAUACAGCAAAGGCAAUAGGAAGAAAUGUCUUAUUGUUAAAGGGAGUCAAAACAAUCACUGAAGAUGUGUUUAUGUGUGUUGUGAUGAUUCUGGCAUGGAACCCAUUGAUCUGAUCACCUCUUUUGUCCUGUUUUCAUUCUUCUUGACAUAUGUAAUGCAUGGUUAGCACAUUCUAUUUCAUGUUUCUUGCUCCCUUGUUUUAUCUCCUUUCUUGUAUGAACAUAGUAGUUAUGAAAAAAAAUUCACCGCCCAUACCCAUGUUUGCUGAUAAUUUUUCUCCUUUUAGAUCUUUGUUUGACAGACACUUUUUGAUGGUCAUCUUCCAGGUAGCUCUGACCAAACUGAACGUUCUGCUGAGUAAAAUGAAAACCACAAUCAACAGCAGAGGGAGAUUCCAUCACCCCUGCAGGUGCUAGAAGGCUGCUGUAAGGUCUCCUUGGAGUCUUCUCCAGGCUAAACAACACCAACUGUCUCAGUGUGUCUUCAUAGGAGAGGUACUCCAGCCUCCGAUCAUCUUCACGGCCCUCCUUGCUCCAAAACCUCUAUGUCCUCAUUAUGUUGGAGGCCCCAGAGCUGGACACAGUACUCCAGGUGGGUCUCGCAAGAAGGGGGCAGAGGAGGAGAAUCACCUCCCUUGCCCUGCUUGUUUCUUGGUUUCUCUCCUUCCCUGAGCAGUGGCAGUGGUGCAGCGGGGCAGGACAUUUGAGCUAAUCAGAGCUACAAUUGCCUUGACUCACCAGCUGCUAAUGCUGCAGCUUUUCUGUUGGUGUGUGGUCUUUGGUGUUCUUUUAUGAUGCUUAAAGAAACCACAAAAUUAUAUUUUUCUUUUAGCAUUAGAAACUCAGGUGUUGUAUGGCUUGGAAAUCUUCCUCGCAAGGGGAAACAGUGACAUUACAAGAGGCAAGAGUGUGAAAGACAAGCAAUUGAGAACCAUUAGCAGAGUUGCCAGUCCUAAUGGUUUUCCAAAUAGGUUGGAGGAUUUCAGACCCUUUCAAGGGUUUUAAAGGAAAAUAUGGGUUUUUAGAACCAGUUCCAUGACUGAUCAUUUCCUUUCUCCCACCUGCCACCCAGAGGUGCUCCAGCUUCAUCUCUUUAAUGGACCAGGUACACAGGACUUUGCUUUCCAGCUGUCCUAUGCUCCUGCUCACCACUCACUACUUCACAAGAGGGGGGUGAAACAAUAGGAGGCAGAAGUUGAGAAGAGUUAAAGAAACAACGGCAACUAAGAUAGCUGCUCAGUUAAUGAAUGUAGCUAGGAUAAAUCAUGUUUGGAGGAAGAAGAGGUGGAUAAUUAAUUUUGGAGGCUGCAGAGAUGGAGGAAUUUUGCUCAUGAAAAUUAACCCAUAUUUAUACUAGAAGGGAGUCUAUAAUUUUGUUUUGGUGUAGAGAUGGAAGCGUUCCUGGAGAUGCAGUUGGAAUAACUGGAAUCCAUCAUAACAGUGUCUAAGUUUUCAGCUUGCUCUGUCACUGCCACGGGUAAAGCCAGGAGUUGGAACUGUGGCUGUAGGAUAUAGAAACGGAGUUAGGAAUGCAUUAUUCUUUCCCCAAGGUUGUGGGACUGUGUACAACAGCACUGCCCUGGGAUUUGAGGCAAGUGGGGGUGGGAGAAAAGCAACAAGUGGUUUCUUAGCGGUAAAGCCCAGUUUGGUAAUUAUUUCUUGUAACAGUACCAUAAAGAAUUUUGUUUAAAUAAGUAAAUACAAUUCUGACAUUAUUUCAGGGACUUCAUUUUGAGUUGUAGAUACCAGAUCUGAUCACUACCUGGUCCUUGUAUUACAUACGGUUAGUUUUUCUGACUUGCUUCAUCUGUCACAUAACAGCUGUGUCUUUGUUUUGCUGAUUAAAGAAAUACUUGUGGAAUGGAAAUGAAUUAAAUAUGGAAGUAGAGCCCAUGAUGCUAACUCUGUGGCCAGACCAUGUCAAUGGAAUUGUAGGUUUGUUCUGAAAAGUCUCCUCUUGCUUUUCCCUAACUGUUUCACAGUUGCUCAGUAUGUUAACAUGUUCCACGCAGGGGUCAGCAGUAGUUAACCAUAAUGAGGUAAUUACAAGGUACAUUGAGUACAGAUGUAUGUUAAGGGACAUACAUUAAGGAUGUAGACUAAUGGUGUUGUGGUGACAGCAUGUUCAAGACUUUUGGUAAUGUUCUGCAUAUUGAAUGUCUUCAAUAUCACUUAAUUUUUUUUAAAGUAGGUUUUAUUGGCUUUUUUUUUCCAACUACAGAAUUUAUUUCCAUGUGUAUACUUAUAUCUGUGUGUGGAAACAAAUGACAGAUCAAGGAUACCAAUCCAAUGAUGCAAAACAGGUAAUAGGUGUAUUUAUAUUUUUGUGGUCCAAGCUUUCUUCACAGAUUUAAAAUGACCUCAUUACCAUGAAAAUGAGAAAAUACGGUUUUGUUAUCUUCGUGUGAUUUUGAAAAACAUAGCGGCAAAGCAGGUGAAGAGGAAGCAAAUUGCUCAACUGAAAUAGCUGCAUUGGCCUCAGAGAAGAGGAAUAAUAUGUGAAGGGACUUGAGAAUGAAGAAAAAACAUGUUUUACCUUAAGUGAGGUAGCGUGUCUCCUGUCAGGAGGCACACAGCAGCAAGCUGCUCAGCAUGGGCUCUAAAACUUGCAUCAGCCUUGCUAAGCUCUACCUUGGGUGGUUGAUCUAUGCUGAGCAAGGUCCUGCUGUGCUAUUACUACUAGCAACACCUGAGCUGGGGAUUUAGUACCAGUUCCCAAGCUACUGUGACAUAGACCUCAAAGCUCUGCAGUUAAAGGCACAAAGGGCCAAUUCUGCAUCUUCUUUUGGAGAGAACGAGGAACCCCAUUGAGGGCAAAGGAUCUCAGAUUUGAGCACUGAGGUGAAGUAGUUGCACUCUGGGUCUUGGGAUGGCUCAGUAUUGAUCAGGAAUCUUAUUUGAUGGCCUCCUGCUGCUGCACAGCCACAAGGAUGUUGUGCAAUUUUAUUAAUAUGUGCCUAACAAUAAGAUAUAAUGAUAAAAUAGUAACAGAAAAAUCUCAUGAGCAUAUUCUGUGUUCAAUAUGAGGUUUGAAUAGCAUGUAGUUACCAAUACAGGAAGCCCUAGGCUUGAGAAGGAUAGCAAAACUAUUGAAGAGUUUAACAAAAAAACAUCUUAUGUGUUGAAAGAAACUGCAGGAGGAAAAAAAAGUUAAUGUUUAAUUAAAAGACCGCCACCAAGAUGGAAGAUGAAUUUUGAUUAAGCUGGCAUCCUUGACUUAGGUGUUUUCCAAACUGUAUGCUUGUAUUUUACAACUCAAUUAACUUGUGAUAUUUCUAUCUUCAGUAAUGUAUGUAUUUAAUAUACAUUGCAUGUGAUAUAUAUAAUCAUAUAUUUUAUAAUAUACAUUGUAUCUUUUAUUCUAUUGGAAGUUAAAACAACCAUAAUGCAUCUUCACAUAAAACAACAUAACAGAUUUUGUGCAAGACCUGGUUACCUGUUGUGACACACACAGAUGUACCAGAGUGCACACAUACCAGGGAGGUAUAAUUAUGCUUAUAUAAAUGCACACAUUUAAAGUGGGACUGUUACUCACUUUGCUGAUGUAAUUAACAGCAUGAAAAUACUGGUUUUGUAAUACUUAGAGACAUUAUCAAAUUAAACCUGCUUAACAUUCCAUAUGUAGAAACAGUCAACCCAAAAGAAAAACCCAAAAGGGAACAGGUAAUUCCCCUCCACGUAAGGACAGGACUUUUGCA